rnacentral:rRNA from 1 species
GGGGGAUAACUACUGGAAACGGUAGCUAAUACCGCAUAACGUCGCAAGACCAAAGAGGGGGACCUUCGGGCCUCUUGCCAUCGGAUGUGCCCAGAUGGGAUUAGCUAGUAGGUGGGGUAACGGCUCACCUAGGCGACGAUCCCUAGCUGGUCUGAGAGGAUGACCAGCCACACUGGAACUGAGACACGGUCCAGACUCCUACGGGAGGCAGCAGUGGGGAAUAUUGCACAAUGGGCGCAAGCCUGAUGCAGCCAUGCCGCGUGUAUGAAGAAGGCCUUC